AUACGGAGGAUCCGAGCGUUAUCCGGAUUUAUUGGGUUUAAAGGGAGCGUAGGCGGAGGAUCAAGUCAGCUGUGAAAUGUAGACGCUCAACGUCUGCACUGCAGUUGAAACUGGUCCCCUUGAGUGCGUAAGGGGCAGGCGGAAUUCGUCGUGUAGCGGUGAAAUGCUUAGAUAUGACGAAGAACUCCGAUCGCGAAGGCGGGUUGCCGGGCCGCAACUGACGCUGAAGCUCGAAGGUGCGGGUAUCGAACAGGAUUAGAUACCCUGGUAGUCCGCACAGUAAACGAUGGAUACUCGCUGUCGGCGAUAUACGGUCGGUGGCCAAGCGAAAGCGUUAAGUAUCCCACCUGGGGAGUACGCCGGCAACGGUGAAACUCAAAUGAAUUGGCGGGG
rnacentral:rRNA from 1 species